rnacentral:rRNA from 1 species
AUUGAACGCUGGCGGCAUGCCUUACACAUGCAAGUCGAACGGUAACAGGUCUUCGGAUGCCGACGAGUGGCGAACGGGUGAGUAAUACAUCGGAACGUGCCUAGUAGUGGGGGAUAACUACUCGAAAGAGUGGCUAACACCGCAUGAGAUCUACGGAUGAAAGCAGGGGAUCGCAAGACCUUGUGCUACUAGAGCGGCCAAUGGCAGAUUAGGUAGUUGGGGGGAUAAACGCUUACCAAGCCGACGAUCUGUAGCUGAACUGAGAGGACGGACAGCCACACGGGGACUGAGAGAGGGCCCAGACUCCUACGGGAGGCAGCAGUGGGGAAUUUUGGACAAUGGGCGAAAGCCUGAUCCAGCAAUGCCGCGUGCAGGAUGAAGGCCUUCGGGUUGUAAACUGCUUUUGUACGGAACGAAAAGCCCCGGGUUAAUACCCUGGGGUCAUGACGGUACCGUAAGAAUAAGCACCGGCUAACUACGUGCCAGCCGCCGCCGUAA